rnacentral:rRNA from 1 species
GAAUGACUCUCGACAAUGGAUAUCUCAGCUCUCGCAUCGAUGAAGAACGUAGGGAAAUGCGAUACUUGGUGUGAAUUGUAGAAUCCCAUGAACCAUUGAGUCUUUGAACGCAAGUUGCGCCCGAAGCCAUUAGGCCGAGGGCACGCCUGCCUGGGUGUCACAC